GAAGUGAAAUACAGAUCUAAGAGGAGACAGAGAGAUUCAGGGAGGAGCUAAGAUGUUCCUGAACUAUAGAAGAGAGAGGAACUUCCAUAUUCACCAGAGUUCAACACAGACCAUCAUCAUCAUCACCUUCAUUCAACAUGCUGUCAUUAGACUAUUAUUUACAUUCCCUACUGUUAGUUUCCAUUCUAAGAGGGGUCAGCUGUGAAGAUCUCACUGCAUUACAGAAAGAAGAGUUCAGACCAGAAGGCAGCACUGUUACUCUGUCCUACAGAUACUCCAAAACUAUAACAGCUACUGAUUAUUUCUUCUGGUAUCGACAAUAUCCAGGAAAACCACCAGAGUUCCUCAUCCUUCAGUGGGGAACAAAACCUGCAUCAAACUCUCGACUGUCCGUUAAAUCGGAUGAGGAUAAAACCCAGAUCAAUCUGAGCCUCUCCUCUGCUGCAGUGACAGACUCUGCUGUGUACUACUGUGCUGUGCAGCCCACAGUGACAGGAAACACCACAACUCUGUACAAAAACCUCUGCAGCUUCUCCCUGAACAUUCACACACUUCAGAUCCCGCCUUUUUCUGAACAACAUCGCCAUCAAGUGGACACCUCGAACAACUUCUCCUCUCAAAGUGACACACAUCCAACCUCUGAGGGAGACUUCAAAGAUGAAGAGCAGUCUGUCUGGCCUGUCCAUCCACCGGCUCCUGAAAGUGGAUGAACUUGUUAAACUGGUCCUGACUAACAUACGAUUCACUGCAGUGUGAGGUGGAAAAGUUCAUGGUGAAGAACAAGCGUUAGAUUAUUGCAGUGGUGUAAUGUAACUAAGUACAUUUACUCACACUGUACGGAAGUAAAACAUUGAG